UCCGCACCCUGAGUCAAAUCAUCGAGUGUGAUCGAGUGAGCGAGUGUGUUUUACUGUUUUUUAACUUUUGUGUCGUGUGCAAUAAAAUAGAUGUGCUCUGUGAGUUUAGAUUCGGAUUUGUAUUGUUGCGUUCUAUAUUUUUUGAUGUAAUUCUCUAAUGUCUGCAUUAUCUUUCAUCAGUAACUACGGUUCAAGUUCUGAUGAAAGUGAAAAAGAGUCAGAAGAAAAUAAACGCUUACAACCUCAAUGUAAAAA